UGUAAACAUCCUUGACUGGAAGCUGUUUGGAGAUGGAUAGGCUUUCAGUCAGAUGUUUGCAGC
rnacentral:pre_miRNA from 1 species